AUUGAACGCUGGCGGAAUGCUUUACACAUGCAAGUCGAACGGCAGCACGGGGCAACCUGGUGGCGAGUGGCGAACGGGUGAGUAAUACAUCGGAACGUGCCCAAUCGUGGGGGAUAACGUAGCGAAAGUUACGCUAAUACCGCAUACGAUCUACGGAUGAAAGCGGGGGAUCGCAAGACCUCGCGCGAAUGGAGCGGCCGAUGUCAGAUUAGGUAGUUGGUGGGGUAAAGGCUCACCAAGCCAACGAUCUGUAGCUGGUCUGAGAGGACGACCAGCCACACUGGAACUGAGACACGGUCCAGACUCCUACGGGAGGCAGCAGUGGGGAAUUUUGGACAAUGGGCGCAAGCCUGAUCCAGCCAUUCCGCGUGCAGGAUGAAGGCCUCGGUUGUAACUGCUUUGUACGUACGAACGGACGAGCUCUAAUACAGUUUGCUAAUGACGGUACCGUAAGAAUAAGCACCGGCUACUACGUGCCAGCAGCCGCGGU
rnacentral:rRNA from 1 species